rnacentral:rRNA from 1 species
ACGAACGCUGGCGGCGUGCUUAACACAUGCCAGUCGAACGAAGAGCGAUGGAAGCUUGCUUCUAUCAAUCUUAGUGGCGAACGGGUGAGUAACGCGUAAUCAACCUGCCCUUCAGAGGGGGACAACAGUUGGAAACGACUGCUAAUACCGCAUACGAUCUAAUCUCGGCAUCGAGGAUAGAUGAAAGGUGGCCUCUACAUGUAAGCUAUCACUGAAGGAGGGGAUUGCGUCUGAUUAGCUAGUUGGAGGGGUAACGGCCCACCAAGGCGAUGAUCAGUAGCCGGUCUGAGAGGAUGAACGGCCACAUUGGGACUGAGACACGGCCCAGACUCCUACGGGAGGCAGCAGUGGGGAAUCUUCCGCAAUGGACGAAAGUCUGACGGAGCAACGCCGCGUGAGUGAUGACGGCCUUCGGGUUGUAAAGCUCUGUUAAUCGGGACGAAAGGCCUUCUUGCGAACAGUUAGAAGGAUUGACGGUACCGGAAUAGAAAGCCACGGCUAACUACGUG